GAUGAACGCUGGCGGCGUGCCUAAUACAUGCAAGUCGAGCGAACGGACGAGAAGCUUGCUUCUCUGAUGUUAGCGGCGGACGGGUGAGUAACACGUGGAUAACCUACCUAUAAGACUGGGAUAACUUCGGGAAACCGUAGCUAAUACCGGAUAAUAUUUUGAACCGCAUGGUUCAAAAGUGAAAGACGGUCUUGCUGUCACUUAUAGAUGGAUCCGCGCUGCAUUAGCUAGCUGGUAAGGUAACGGCUUACCAAGGCAACGAUGCAUAGCCGACCUGAGAGGGGGAUCGGCCACACUGAAACUGAGACACGGUCCAGACUCCUGCGGGAGGCAGCAGUAGGGAAUCUUCCGCAAGGGGCGAAAGCCUGACGGAGCAACGCCGCGUGAGUGAUGAAGGUCUUCGGAUCGUAAAACUCUGUUAUUAGGGAAGAACAUAUGUGUAAGUAACUGUGCACAUCUGGACGGUACCAAAGCAGAAAGCCACGGCUAACUACG
rnacentral:rRNA from 1 species